rnacentral:rRNA from 1 species
GACGAACGCUGGCGGCGUGCUUAACACAUGCAAGUCGAACGAUGAAGCCGGAGCUUGCUCCGGUGGAUUAGUGGCGAACGGGUGAGUAACACGUGAGCAAUCUGCCCUUGACUCUGGGCUAACUGCGGGAAACUGUAGCUAAUACCGGAUACGACACCUUGGGGCAUCCCAGGGUGUGGAAAGAAUUUCGGUCAAGGAUGAGCUCGCGGCCUAUCAGCUAGUUGGUGAGGUAAUGGCUCACCAAGGCGACGACGGGUAGCCGGCCUGAGAGGGGGACCGGCCACACUGGAACGGCGACACGGUCCAGAGUCCUACGGGAGGCAGCAGUGGGGAAUAGUGCACAAUUGGCGAAAGCCUGAUGCAGCAACGCCGCGUGAGGGAUGAAGGCCUUCGGGUUGUAAACCUCUUUUAGCAGGGAAGAAGCGAAAGUGACAGUACCUGCAGAAAAAGCACCGGCUAACUACGUGCCAGCAGCCGCCGUAA